UCCUAGUUAACCUAGGCAGUCUCAUUAGAGUUCCCACCAUUACGUGCUGGCAACUAAUGACAAGGGUUGCGCUCGUUGCGGGACUUAACCCAACACCUCACGGCACGAGCUGACGACAGCCAUGCAGCACCUGUGCAGAGACCCCGAAGGGAGACACCAUUUCUGAUGCUGUCCUCUGCAUGUCAAGCCUGGGUAAGGUUCUUCGCGUUGCAUCGAAUUAAACCACAUGCUCCACUGCUUGUGCGGGUCCCCGUCAAUUCUUUUGAGUUUCACCCUUGCGAGCGUACUCCCCAGGCGGUAUACUUAAUGCGUUAGCGUCGGCACAGUUAGGGUUGAAUCCAACUACACCUAGUAUACAUCGUUUAAGGCAAGGACUAC
rnacentral:misc_RNA from 1 species